GCUGAACGCUGACAGAAUGCUUAACACAUGCAAGUCAACUGUGGCGGACGGGUGAGUCACGCGUAAAGACCUUGCCUCACAGCUAGGGCCAACAUUUGGAAACGAAUGCUAAUACCUGAUACUGUGAGAGAGCUUUGCGUCCCAUUAGCUAGUUGGAGAGGUAACGGCUCACCAAGGCGCUGAUGGGUAGCCGGCCUGAGAGGGUGAUCGGCCACAAGGGGACUGAGAGACGGCCCUUACUCCUACGGGAGGAAGCAGUGGGGAAUAUUGGACAAUGGACCAAAGUCUGAUCCAGCAAUUCUGUGUGCACGAUGAAGUUUUCGGAAUGUAAAGUGCUUUCAGUUGGGAAGCUGUACCAACAGAAGAAGUGACGGCUAAAGACGUGCCAGCAGCCGCGGUAAUUC
rnacentral:rRNA from 1 species